rnacentral:misc_RNA from 1 species
UUAAGUUCAGCGGGUAUUCCUACCUGAUCCGAGGUCAACAUUUCGGAGAGUUGGGUGUUUUACGGCAUUGGGCGCGCCGCGCUCCCGGUGCGAGUGUGCAAACUACUGCGCAGGAGAGGCUGCGGCGAGACCGCCACUGCAUUUCGGGGCCGGCCGCCCCGCGGAGGGAGGGCCGAUCCCCAACGCCGACCCCCCGGAGG